ACGUUUCAUUCUUCAUUACUGUUAGUGUGUGAAGGAGUGAAAUGUUCACUGUGUUUGGUAACUUUAACAACACGGCAUUCAGGGUUUAUUUUUAGUCCGUGAUUCAUGAUAAAUGUUUACAGGUCAGAGUUUUACCACUGAAUCAGAAACAUCGAAACCAGCUCUGUGUGAUCACAACACGAACAUGAACACACAAGAGAAAACAGGUCAGAUGUCUCAUAAUUUUAUAAUUCACAAUAAACUGCGUUCAUGGUUCAUAACAUUCUCAGAAGUGACCAGAUCUCUCCACUCCUCAGUGCUCGGUUUGGGAACGGCUUUGGGUUUGUGUGCACUUCUGAUUUUCUGUCUCAUUUAUUUCAUACUGAGGAGAAGAAAAUGGGAUAAAAUGAAGGCUUCAACAGAAGGUUCAGCAGGAACGAGGGAGGACUCUCAUGUCGACUCCUGGACUUACGCAGCUUUACAGUUUCCCAAGAAGGGAAGUGGAGUUUGUUUCUCAGACAAGUUGGUGUACUCUGAAAUGAUGUAUAUGAAACUGUAAAAUAUUAUACAACUGCGUCCUAUUUUCUUCUUAUUAUUAUUCCAUCAAAAUGAUUAUUAACAAUCUAUUACAUAAAAAAUGCAAAUCUGUACAUGACUGUAA